UGCCUUAUCAAAAGUCUUGCUAAAAAACCC
rnacentral:piRNA from 1 species